rnacentral:lncRNA from 1 species
CCAUCUCUUAAAAUGGUUACCAUUGAACCGAAAUGACUUGUUAAGGUCUCCCAUCUUGAAAUCCGCGGUUUUUUCAAUUGUAGCCAUGCUGAAUCUCCUUAAAAUUGUUAGUGAAAACUUACAAGAUAACAAAAAUACAAAAUUACAAUUGAAAAUAAAAUGAAGAAAAUAAAUCUCUUCAGGCUGAGGCGCGGAUAUCUCGCUCUCUUUAAGGAGAUUCAAGCCCACUGCAGCAAAUGUUUUCACCGGUCCAACAGUAGUCCUCUUGACUUGUCCCCUCCAGGAUACAACAACCUUCACAAAGUAUAACUCAACAACUCUGGACAAGAGUUGAGUCCAAAGCUCCACAAAAA